rnacentral:misc_RNA from 1 species
GAGAAAAUUUAGAAGAAGAAAAUUAAGAAAAUCCCAAUCUUGAUUUCUCUGCUAUUCGUUUCAAGAAAUAGAAAGAAACUUGGAAUUCUACUUAAAUCGCAGCCUAGAAUCGAUAUUCUCCCUCGAUGAACAAGAAAUUCUUUUAGGAGCAAAGCGACAUGUACAACCAUUUCAUUUGGCCUUAGUUCUCCCCGAAAUCAAACGAGGGUCAUUGGCUACCGGAAGGAA